GCUUUGGGACUGCAUCCUUUGUUAGAACUUUUAUUUUGAAAAAAAUAAAAAGAUCGUCUCAGUUUCCUUUAAAGUUCAAGCAAUCACUCAAACAUACAAUUUUUGUUGAUUUUGUAGAAGCUCCAUCACAACUGAAUCUGUUUUUUUGCAUCACGUCACAAAAAAACAACCUCUUUGAUUAUUCAGGGAUAGAAUUGGAGAAACGGUUGGAGGUUUUUCUGACCUGGUAAAUCACUCCUCUGUGUCCGGCUGGAGCUGGAGUGUGAAGCUUCAUAACAAAUCUGAAGCUGCUUUCUCUUUCCAUCUCCUCCCUUAGAUAGAACUCACAAAGUGAUUUUCGCCUCUAAAUCUCGUGAUCGCUUUAAUUUUUUGCUAGGCUGCCUCACCGGCGUCCUGGGAAAGGGCAAAGAGGAGGAAAGGAGCGGGAAGGCGGCGAAAGCCGAGGGGAUGAGGGGUCCGCAAACAUGGCUGGGAGAGAAAGAGGAGAUGGUGGAAGAGUGGAGAACAGUAUGGAGUUAAAGCUUUAUCAGAGGCGUCCUCUUUGCCUCCACAUCCCUCCCACGUCACCUCGCCGAGACCCAUCUGUGUCUAGAAGAAAGUAUGAUGAAACCACCAAACAAUGAGCGAACGUAAAGAACACAAAUGUGGCGACGCGUUUCUUGAAGCACGAGCAGCUGCAGUACCGAGCACACACACACACGGGCGGGCAUUUUGGAAGGAGCGAAUGGGAGACGGGAAGAGCGGAGGGAGGCGUGUGUUCAAAAAUUCACAAAGGUUUUGUAAUAAAUGCGUCCAUGACAAUAAAAACAAAAACAUUAAAGGGAGAAAAGACAUGUUUCUGUGUUAAACAAUUAGUGCUGCAGCAUUAGAGGCGAUCAGGAGGAGACAAAAGCGCUGCAGCGGCAGGGGGUUUACCCCAGACACAAAGACACAAAGACAGAUGCUCUGCAGCCCAGCCAAGCUGCAGCACCACUCCGGUUCGGCGGUUUGGAAGCUCGGAGGGAUCUUUGGGUUCGUUCUGGGGAGACUGUGAGCUGCAGUUUGUCUACGUCAUCGGCUCGUCUGGAUAAUUAAAUUCAUUUGUGACCACGAGCUACCAGACAUCCACGACAACAACGCAGCAUUUAAAACUUCCGCAAAAGUUACCGCCCCCUCCUAUUUGGUGACGAGAAAAGGUGCUUUUGCCUGCGUAAAUAUUUAGGACUUUCCAAACCUGCGUGGCCUCCUUUGGUAAAGCAGCUGCAUUUUUUAGCCAGAAUUAUCGAAACGAUCUUUUUCUGAAACCAGCAGUCAGAUUCAAGUCUGUCUUCUGCUAGAAGGACCUUGAACCGAUUUUUCCUGUGUUUGUGUCUUCUUCAGCAUUUGCUGGUAAUUAAUGUUCAUAAUUAACGGCAACAGGCAAGCAGCCCCACACCAUCACACUACCACCACCAUGUUUGAGUGUUAAUUCAAUAAAGUUCAUUGUGACUACAAAGUUAACUAAGUUCUUAAGUUAUUUUUUCUCAGACACGGUUUGUGUUUGUCAACAUACCUUACACGUUUCGGUGGAAUCACUUCCACCUUCGUCAGAGUCGUCAUCAGGUGGUGGUGAUGUGACGUCUUUAAAAACAGAUGAUUCUGACGGGGCGGAGUCACCUGUCAGACUUUGACAAGUGACUCCGCCCCUUGAUGUCAGUUUUAUUGCUGGAGGAUGUUGCUCCAGGUGUGGGAGAGAAGUAAGGCCACCUCAUCCCGGUUCA
rnacentral:lncRNA from 1 species